rnacentral:rRNA from 1 species
UACGAAGGGUGCUAGCGUUGUUCGGAAUCACUGGGCGUAAAGCGCGCGUAGGCGGCUUUUCAAGUCAGAGGUGAAAGCCUGGAGCUCAACUCCAGAAUUGCCUUUGAAACUGUAAAGCUGGAGUGUCGGAGGGGAUAGCGGAAUUGCUAAUGUAGAGGUGAAAUUCGUAGAUAUUAGCAGGAACACCGGUGGCGAAGGCGGCUAUCUGGACGACAACUGACGCUGAGGCGCGAAAGCGUGGGGAUCAAACAGG